rnacentral:rRNA from 1 species
ACGGUUGACCUCGGAUCAGGUAGGAAUACC